rnacentral:tRNA from 1 species
GCCUGACUGGCUCAGUCAGUAGAGUAUGUGACUCUUGAUCUCAGAGUCGUGAAUUCCAGCCCCAUGUUGGGCC